rnacentral:rRNA from 1 species
ACGUAGGGGGCGAGCGUUAUUCGGAAUUACUGGGUGUAAAGGGUAUGUAGGCGGCCCUUCAAGUCGCGUGUCAAAGUCCAGUGCUCAACGCUGGGAGUGCGCGUGAUACUGUCGGGCUUGAGUGCUGGAGAGGUGAGCGGAAUUCCCGGUGUAGUGGUGAAAUGCGUAGAGAUCGGGAGGAACACCAGCGGCGCAGGCGGCUCACUAGACAGUUUCUGACGCUAAGGUGCGAAAGCGUGGGGAGCAAACAG